rnacentral:rRNA from 1 species
GAUGAACGCUGGCGGCGUGCCUAAUACAUGCAAGUCGAGCGAAUGGAUUAAGAGCUUGCUCUUAUGAAGUUAGCGGCGGACGGGUGAGUAACACGUGGGUAACCUGCCCAUAAGACUGGGAUAACUCCGGGAAACCGGGGCUAAUACCGGAUAACAUUUUGAACCGAAUGGUUCGAAAUUGAAAGGCGGCUUCGGCUGUCACUUAUGGAUGGACCCGCGUCGCAUUAGCUAGUUGGUGAGGUAACGGCUCACAAAGGCAACGAUGCGUAGCCGACCUGAGAGGGUGAUCGGCCACACUGGGACUGAGACACGGCCCAGACUCCUACGGGAGGCAGCAGUAGGGAAUCUUCCGCAAUGGACGAAAGUCUGACGGAGCAACGCCGCGUGAGUGAUGAAGGCUUUCGGGUCGUAAAACUCUGUUGUUAGGGAAGAACAAGUGCUAGUUGAAUAAGCUGGCACCUUGACGGUACCUAACCAGAAAGCCACGGCUAACUACGUGCCAGCAGCCGCCGUAA